rnacentral:rRNA from 1 species
AUUGAACGCUGGCGGCAGGCCUAACACAUGCAAGUCGAGCGGAGCGGCGGACGGGUGAGUAAUGCCUACGAAUCUGCCUGGUAGUGGGGGAUAACGUCCGGAAACGGGAGCUAAUACCGCAUCCUAUCAGAUGAGCCUAGGGCGGGUUAGCUCGUUGGUGGGGUAAAGGCCUACCAAGGCAACGAGCCGUAACUGGGCUGAGAGGAUGAUCAGUCACACUGGAACUGAGACACGGUCCAGACUCCUACGGGAGGCAGCAGUGGGGAAUAUUGGACAAUGGGCGAAAGCCUGACCCAGCCAUGCCGCGUGUGUGAAGAAGGUCUUCGGAUUGUAAAGCACUUGAAGUCGGGAGGCGUUACCAACAGAAUAAGCACCGGCUAACUUCGUGCCAGCAGCCGCGGUAAUUC